AACUUUUGGCAAUGGAUCUCUUGGCUCUCGCAUCUAUGAAGAACGCAGCGAAAUGCGAUACGUAAUGUGAAUUGCAGAAUUCAGUGAAUCAUCGAAUCUUUGAACGCACCUUGCGCCCCUUGGCAUUCCGAGGGGCACACCCGUUUGAGUGUCGUGAAAUUCUCAAACCUUCUUGGUUUCUUGAUCAAGAUGGCUUUGGACUUUGGAGGCAUUUUGCUGGCUUUGCGAAAAGCCAGCUCCUCUUAAAUACAUUAGUGGGAUCCCCUUUGCCGAUCCCCAGGCGUGAUAAGAUAUUUCUACGUCUUGGGAUUUGCUCUGUUCCUUGGGAACCCGCUUCCAACCGUCUCAUGGGAGACAUCGUUCGAGUUUGCUCGACCCACGAACCUUGACCUCAAAUCGGGUGAGACUACCCGCUGAACUUAAGCAUAUCAAUAAGCGGAGGCU
rnacentral:misc_RNA from 1 species